rnacentral:lncRNA from 1 species
AUGAAGUGAAAGGAUCAGCAGUCUUAGAUAAGGUGUGCUAGAAGCCUUGAUUAGAGAUGAAUUCAAACUUCAAAACAUAGGAUUUUCAGCUAGAAAGGGUGCAUAACUUGUUCUAGCUCUACCUCUAUGAGUUCUUAUGGUUUGAUGUUCUCUUAUGUGAGUAUGGAAGUGAAGAAAUAUGAAGACAAGCUUAAGGAAAUAGG